rnacentral:lncRNA from 1 species
CCAACGCAUCCAUCCCCAGAGGAACAAGCGAGGAUCUCAGAGCGCGACCUGGACAGGCUCUCACAAAAGUCACCGCGUUUGUGUAGGUAACUAAGGCCUACCGAAACCAGUCAGCCCUAAGUGCACACAGGAGAACCAUGGAGUUGGAGGAAAAGUCCAAGGUAGCCUGCUGGAUGGUGAGAGACACUUGCCUCAGUUUCUUGGUCAUCCUAGCCUACAAUCAGCUGUUUUCAGAAACAGAGUUGCCUAGCUGACCUGCAAUUGACCAUGGAUGCACGAGUGAGCCCAGCUGAGCUUAACGUAAGAACUGCCCAACUGAACCCAGCCCAAAUUGCUGAUUUAUGGUAUUAUGAGCUAAAUAAAAGGCUAUUAUUUUAA